rnacentral:RNase_P_RNA from 1 species
CCGGCGAAACAGAUGACCGCGCUGGUCGCAAGACCGGUGAGGAAAGUCCGAGCACCGAACUCGUCGUAAGGCGAGCUGACAGCGAGAGCAGCUAACGACUGCCAGGAUAUAUUCUCGUGCAAACGAGGAAAAACCUAGGGAAAGUGCCACAGAGACAAUACUAGUUUGGCGCAAGCCAAAUGAAAGGUGAAAAGUGAGUGGAGGUCGAUGCGCCUUAAAAACGCACCGGCUACCUCUCUCGGCGCGUGGUAACACGCGUUGUGGUAAACCCUCUCCGGUGCAAGAGCAAAUCCUCGCAAGAGGAAUGGUCGCUCGCUUGAGCCGACUGGCAACAGUCGGCCCAGAGAGAUGGUCAUCGAAUUUUGGUGCAAACCAAGAGGAACAGAACUCGGCUUACCGUUUCGCCACACAU